rnacentral:rRNA from 1 species
GAUGAACGCUAGCGGGAGGCCUAAUACAUGCAAGUCGAGCGGUAGAGUGACUUCGGUUGCUUGAGAGCGGCGAACGGGUGAGUAACGCGUACACAAUCUACCUUUAAGAGGGGAAUAGCCCUGGGAAACUGGGAUUAAUGCCCCAUGGCAUCACGAGACGGCAUCGUUUUGUGAUUAAAGCUGAGGUGCUUAGAGAUGAGUGUGCGUCUAAUUAGCUAGUUGGUGCGGUAACGGCGCACCAAGGCGACGAUCAGUAGGGGGCGUGAGAGCGUGGACCCCCACACGGGUACUGAGACACGGACCCGACUCCUACGGGAGGCAGCAGUAAGGAAUAUUGGUCAAUGGAGGAAACUCUGAACCAGCCAUCCCGCGUGCAGGAAGAAUGCCCUAUGGGUUGUAAACUGCUUUUAUCUGGGAAGAAAAGUCGGGAUUUAUCCUGAUCUGACGGUACCAGAGGAAUAAGCACCGGCUAACUCCGUGCCAGCAGCCGCGGUAAAG